AGUGAACGCUGGCGGUAGGCCUAACACAUGCAAGUCGAACGGCAGCACAGAGGAGCUUGCUCCUUGGGUGGCGAGUGGCGGACGGGUGAGGAAUACAUCGGAAUCUACUCUGUCGUGGGGGAUAACGUAGGGAAACUUACGCUAAUACCGCAUACGACCUACGGGUGAAAGCAGGGGACCUUCGGGCCUUGCGCGAUUGAAUGAGCCGAUGUCGGAUUAGCUAGUUGGCGGGGGAAAGGCCCACCAAGGCGACGAACCGUAGCGGGGCUGAUAGGAUGAUCAGCCACACUGGAACUGAGACACGGUCCAGACUCCUACGGGAGGCAGCAGUGGGGAAUAUUGGACAAUGGGCGCAAGCCUGAUCCAGCCAUACCGCGUGGGUGAAGAAGGCCUUCGGGUUGUAAAGCCCUUUUGUUGGGAAAGAAAUCCAGCUGGCUAAUACCCGGUUGGGAUGACGGUACCCAAAGAAUAAGCACCGGCUAACUUCGUGCCAGCCGCCGCAGUAA
rnacentral:rRNA from 1 species